GACGAACGCUGGCGGCAUGCCUAACACAUGCAAGUCGAGCGAGCAGAUCCCUUCGGGGUGAAGCUAGCGGCGGACGGGUGAGUAACACGUGGGCAACCUGCCUCAUAGAGGGGAAUAGCCUUCCGAAAGGAAGAUUAAUACCGCAUAAGAUUGUAGCUUCGCAUGAAGCAGCAAUUAAAGGAGCAAUCCGCUAUGAGAUGGGCCCGCGGCGCAUUAGCUAGUUGGUGAGGUAACGGCUCACCAAGGCGACGAUGCGUAGCCGACCUGAGCGGGUGAUCGGCAACAUUGGGACUGAGACACGGCCCAGACUCCUACGGGAGGCAGCAGUGGGGAAUAUUGCACAAUGGGGGAAACCCUGAUGCAGCAAUGCCGCGUGAGUGAUGACGGCCUUCGGGUUGUAAAGCACUGUCUUUGGGGACGAUAAUGACGGUACCCAAGGAGGAAGCCACGGCUAACUACGUGCCAGCAGCCGCCGUAAGAC
rnacentral:rRNA from 1 species